rnacentral:ncRNA from 1 species
CACCUGGUUGAUCCUGCCAGUAGUCAUAUGCUUGUCUCAAAGAUUAAGCCAUGCAUGUCUAAGUAUAAGCUUUAAACGGCGAAACUGCGAAUGGCUCAUUAAAACAGUUAUAGUUUAUUUGGUGAUCGAUUACUAUUUGGAUAACCGUAGUAAUUCUAGAGCUAAUACAUGCGUCAAGGCCCGACUUCGGAAGGGCUGCGUUUAUUAGAUACAGAACCAACCUAGGCUCCGCCUAGUCCUUGUUGGUGAUUCAUAAUAACCCGGCGAAUCGCACGGCUUGUCCGGCGAUGGACCAUUCAAGUUUCUGACCUAUCAGCUAUGGACGGUAGGGUAUUGGCCUACCGUGGCGUUGACGGGUAACGGGGAAUUAGGGUUCGAUUCCGGAGAGGGAGCCUGAGAAACGGCUACCACAUCUAAGGAAGGCAGCAGGCGCGCAAAUUACCCAAUCCUGAUACAGGGAGGUAGUGACAAGAAAUAACAAUACAGGGCAAUUCUGUCUUGUAAUUGGAAUGAGUAGAUUUUAAAUCUCUUUACGAGUAUCAAUUGGAGGGCAAGUCUGGUGCCAGCAGCCGCGGUAAUUCCAGCUCCAAUAGCGUAUAUUAAAGUUGUUGCGGUUAAAAAGCUCGUAGUUGGAUUUCUGCCUUGGGCGACCGAUCCACCUUUCCUACGGGAUUGGUCGGUAUCAGGUUUGACCUUGGCUUUUUCUUGGGAUUCGUGCUCACGUACUUAACUGUGCGUUGACCGUGUUCCAAGACUUUUACUUUGAGGAAAUUAGAGUGUUUCAAGCAGCUUAUGCCAUGAAUACAUUAGCAUGGAAUAAUAGGAUAUGACUUCGGUCAUAUUUUGUUGGUUUCUAGGACUGAAGUAAUGAUUAAUAGGGACAGUCGGGGCAUUCGUAUUUACUGUCAGAGGUGAAAUUCUUGGAUUUGUUAAGACGACUACUGCGAAAGCAUU